AUGUUCACCUUAGCAAUACAUACACUAAAAUGGGAAUAAUACAGAGAAAAAGAGUAUGGUCCCUAAGCAGGACGACAGGCAAAUCUGUGAAGUGUUCCAUAUUUUC
rfam:Canis lupus familiaris chromosome 20, whole genome shotgun sequence.